ACAGCAAAACUCUAAGACCACUGCCCUUCAAAAACUUCAACAGCCCUGAGUGAAAAGUCCAAACACAUUCAUCUACCAUUCAAAGACCCUUUAUUGUCUGUCCUCUGCACAUCUCAGUAGUCUCUUUUUACCACACUGUCUAUAUACUGCAUGAGCCAUUUAUAUGAAAACUAUCUGACACUCCAAGGCAUCUUAUACUAUAUAUUCAAUCAUGUAUCCCUAGUAAUUAUCACAGUCCUGGCAUAUAGUUUGCUACUAAACGUUUGCAGAAUGAAGGAAUUAUCUUGUAUCCAGGUUCCAAGUUUUAAGGUGAUUCUUCACUAAAAAA
rnacentral:lncRNA from 1 species